rnacentral:rRNA from 1 species
AACGAACGCUGGCGGCAUGCCUAACACAUGCCAGUCGAACGAGACCUUCGGGUCUAGUGGCGCACGGGUGCGUAACGCGUGGGAACCUGCCCUUAGGUUCGGAAUAACUCCCCGAAAGGGGUGCUAAUACCGGAUAAUGUCUUAGGACCAAAGAUUUAUCGCCUUUGGAUGGGCCCGCGUUGGAUUAGCGAGUUGGUAGGGUAAAAGCCUACCAAGGCGACGAUCCAUAGCUGGUCUGAGAGGAGGACCAGCCAGACUGGCACUGAGACACGGCCCAGACUCCUACGGGAGGCAGCAGUGGGGAAUAUUGGACAAGGGGCGAAAGCCUGAUCCAGCAAUGCCGCGUGAGUGAUGAAGGCCUUAGGGUUGUAAAGCUCUUUUACCCGGGAUGAUAGUGACAGUACCGGGAGAAUAAGCUCCGGCUAACUCCGUG